UUCCGGUUGAUCCCGCCAGAGGUUACUGCUAUCGGUGUUCGACUAAGCCAUGCUAGUUAAAUGUUCUUCGUGAACAUAGCAGACUGCUCAGUAACACGUGGACAAUCUGCCCUUGGGUUCAGCAUAACCCCGGGAAACUGGGGAUAAUUCUGAAUAGAUCACAUAUGCUGGAAUGCCUUGUGAUUUAAAGAUCCUUCGCCCAAGGAUGGGUCUGCGGCCUAUCAGGUUGUAGUGGGUCUAGAGUACCUAUUAGCCAACGACGGGUACGGGUUGUGAGAGCAAGAGCCCGGAGAUGGAUUCUGAGACAAAAAUCCAGGCCCUACGGGGCGCAGCAGGCGCGAAACCUUUACACUGCGGGAAACCGCGAUAAGGGGACACCGAGUGUCAGCAUACAAUGCUGGCUGUCCACAUGUGUAAAUAGUAUGUGAUAGCAAGGGCCGGGCAAGACCGGUGCCAGCCGCCGCGGUAACACCGGCGGCCCGAGUGGUAAUCCAUAUUAUUGGGUCUAAAGGGUCCGUAGCCGGUUUAAUCAGUCCUCCGGGAAAUCUGACAGCUCAACUGUUAGGCUUCCGGGGGAUACUGUUAGACUUGGGACCGGGAGAGGUAAGAGGUACUACAGGGGUAGGAGUGAAAUCUUGUAAUCCCUGUGGGACCACCAGUGGCAAAGGCGUCUUACCAGAACGGGUCCGACGGUGAGGGACGAAAGCUGGGGGCACGAACCGGAUUAGAUACCCGGGUAGUCCCAGCCGUAAACGAUGCUCGCUAGGUGUCUGGAAUGGUGCGCCCGUUUCAGGUGCCGCAGGGAAGCCGUGAAGCGAGCCACCUGGGAAGUACGGCCGCAAGGCUGAAACUUAAAGGAAUUGGCGGGGGAGCACUACAACGGGUGGAGCCUGCGGUUUAAUUGGACCCAACGCCGGACAACUCACCGGGGGCGACAGCAAUAUGUAGGUCAAGCUAAAGACUUUACCUGAAUCGCUGAGAGGAGGUGCAUGGCCGUCGUCAGUUCGUACUGUGAAGCAUCCUGUUAAGUCAGGCAACGAGCGAGACCCAA
rnacentral:rRNA from 1 species